rnacentral:rRNA from 1 species
UACGAAGGGGGCUAGCGUUGCUCGGAAUGACUGGGCGUAAAGGGCGCGUAGGCGGAUGGUACAGUCAGAUGUGAAAUUCCCGGGCUCAACCUGGGGGCUGCAUUUGAUACGUGCUGUCUUGAGUUCGGAAGAGGGUCGUGGAAUUCCCAGUGUAGAGGUGAAAUUCGUAGAUAUUGGGAAGAACACCGGUGGCGAAGGCGGCGACCUGGUCCGAGACUGACGCUGAGGCGCGAAAGCGUGGGGAGCAAACAGGAUUGAGAAACCC